rnacentral:lncRNA from 1 species
GAGGUCAGAGGCUAGAUGCUCUGCCCUGGUCUCUUUGCUGAGAGGCUCCUACCACAGCUCUAAGUGGUGCGGCAGUGCAAGCCCAACAAUGAUUUUCUACUCAGGCUCAAGACUAGCCACCUGCUGCACAAAACACCAGGGCAAGGAGGGAAAAGAAGCAUGAACCAUUGGGUAAGCCACGUGACUGCACAACUGACCCAGAGCGACCAUCAGAAGGGGG